rnacentral:rRNA from 1 species
UGAUCAUGGCUCAGAACGUACGCUGGCGGCACGCCUAACACAUGCAAGUCGAACGAAGUAGCAAUACUUAGUGGCAGACGGGUGAGUAACAUGUGGGUAUCUGCCCUUUGGCCUGGAAUAACACGAGGAAACUUGUGCUAAUACCGGAUAAGUCUUUACGGAGAAAGCUUUAUGCACCAUUGGAUGAGCCCGCACUUGAUUAGUUUGUUGGUGGGGUAAUGGCCUACCAAGACUGUGAUCAAUAGCUGAUUUGAGAGGAUGAUCAGCCACAUUGGGACUGAGACACGGCCCAAACUCCUACGGGAGGCAGCAGUGGGGAAUCUUGCACAAUGGGGGAAACCCUGAUGCAGCGAUGCCGCGUGAGUGAAGAAGGCCUUUGGGUUGUAAAGCUCUUUCGUCGGGGAAGAAAAUGACUGUACCCGAAUAAGAAGGUCCGGCUAACUUCGUGCCAGCAGCCGCGGUAAUACGAAGGGACCUAGCGUAGUUCGGAAUUACUGGGCUUAAAGAGUUCGUAGGUGGUUGAAAAAGUUAGUGGUGAAAUCCCAGAGCUUAACUCUGGAACUGCCAUUAAAACUUUUCAGCUAGAGUAUGAUAGAGGAAAGCAGAAUUUCUAGUGUAGAGGUGAAAUUCGUAGAUAUUAGAAAGAAUACCAAUUGCGAAGGCAGCUUUCUGGAUCAUUACUGACACUGAGGAACGAAAGCAUGGGUAGCGAAGAGGAUUAGAUACCCUCGUAGUCCAUGCCGUAAACGAUGUGUGUUAGACGUUGGAAAUUUAUUUUCAGUGUCGCAGCGAAAGCGAUAAACACACCGCCUGGGGAGUACGACCGCAAGGUUAAAACUCAAAUGAAUUGACGGGGACCCGCACAAGUAGUGGAGCAUGUGGUUUAAUUCGAAGAUACGCGCAGAACCUUACCAACACUUGACAUGUUCGUCGCGACUCUAAGAGAUUAGAGUUUUCGGUUCGGCCGGACGAAACACAGGUGCUGCAUGGCUGUCGUCAGCUCGUGUCGUGAGAUGUUGGGUUAAGUCCCGCAACGAGCGCAACCCUCACUUUUAGUUGCCAUCAUUUAGUUGGGCACUCUGAAAGAACUGCCAGUGAUAAGCUGGAGGAAGGUGGGGAUGACGUCAAGUCCUCAUGGCCCUUACGUGUUGGGCUACACACGUGCUACAAUGGUAUCUACAACAGGAAGCAAGACUGCGAGGUCAAGCAAAUCCUUAAAAGAUACCUCAGUUCGGAUUGCACUCUGCAACUCGAGUGCAUGAAGCUGGAAUUACUAGUAAUCGUGGAUCAGCGUGCCACGGUGAAUGCGUUCCCGGGUCUUGUACACACCGCCCGUCACACCAUGGGAGUUGGUUCUACCUUAAGGCAAGGUUUCAAACCCUUGACCACGGUAUAGUCAGCGACUGGGGUGAAGUCGUAACAAGGUA